rnacentral:rRNA from 1 species
GCUUAGCCCUAAACCUAAAUAGUAAAAUAACGAUACUAUUCGCCAGAGAACUACUAGCAACAGCUUAAAACUCAAAGGACUUGGCGGUGCUUUACAUCCCUCUAGAGGAGCCUGUUCUGUAAUCGAUAAACCCCGAUAAACCUCACCAACCCUUGCUAAUGCAGCCUAUAUACCGCCAUCUUCAGCAAACCCUUAAAAGGAACCACAGUGAGCAAAACCAUGAAACAUAAAAACGUUAGGUCAAGGUGUAGCCCAUGGGUUGGAAAGAAAUGGGCUACAUUUUCUAAUAUAGAAUAUACACGGAAAUUUUCGUGAAACCGAAAAUAGAAGGAGGAUUUAGUAGUAAAUUAAGAAUAGAGAGCUUAAUUGAAUAAGGCCAUGAAGCAC